rnacentral:rRNA from 1 species
CACGCCCGUCACACCAUGGGAGUGGGUUUCACCAGAAGCAGUUAGCCUAACCGCAAGGAGGGCGAUUGCCACGGUGAGAUUCAUGACUGGGGUG